rnacentral:tRNA from 1 species
AGUAAAGUGCCUGACUAAAGGGUUGCUUUGAUAGAGCAAAUAAUGUACCCAAUACCUUUAUUA